rnacentral:rRNA from 1 species
UACGUAGGAUGCAAGCGUUGUCCGGAAUUAUUGGGCGUAAAGCGAGCGUAGGUGGCUCAUUAAGUUUGGACUUAAAGACCGGGGCUCAACUCCGGGAGUGGUUCGAAUACUGGUGAGCUAGAGGCUGUUAGAGGAAAGUGGAAUUCCGAGUGUAGCGGUGAAAUGCGUAGAUAUUCGGAGGAACACCGGUGGCGAAAGCGACUUUCUGGGGCAGUCCUGACACUGAGGCUCGAAAGCUCGGGGAGCAAACAGG